rnacentral:rRNA from 1 species
UACAGAGACUGCAAGCGUUAUUCGGAUUUACUGGGCGUAAAGGGCGCGUAGGCGGACGGUUAAGUUGGGGGUGAAAGCCCGGGGCUCAACCUCGGAAUUGCCUUCAAUACUGGCUGUCUUGAGUGUGAGAGAGGUGUGCGGAACUCCGAGUGUAGAGGUGAAAUUCGUAGAUAUUCGGAAGAACACCAGUGGCGAAGGCGACACACUGGCUCACUACUGACGCUGAGGCGCGAAAGCGUGGGGAGCAAACAGG